rnacentral:rRNA from 1 species
AGAGUUUGAUCCUGGCUCAGGACGAACGCUGGCGGCGUGCUUAACACAUGCAAGUCGAACGGAAAGGCCCUUCGGGGGUACUCGAGUGGCGAACGGGUGAGUAACACGUGGGUGAUCUGCCCUGCACUUUGGGAUAAGCCUGGGAAACUGGGUCUAAUACCGAAUAAGACCGCAUGCUUCAUGGUGUGUGGUGGAAAGCUUUUGCGGUGUGGGAUGGGCCCGCGGCCUAUCAGCUUGUUGGUGGGGUAAUGGCCUACCAAGGCGACGACGGGUAGCCGGCCUGAGAGGGUGUCCGGCCACACUGGGACUGAGAUACGGCCCAGACUCCUACGGGAGGCAGCAGUGGGGAAUAUUGCACAAUGGGCGCAAGCCUGAUGCAGCGACGCCGCGUGGGGGAUGACGGCCUUCGGGUUGUAAACCUCUUUCACCAUCGACGAAGGUUCGGGUUUUCUCGGAUUGACGGUAGGUGGAGAAGAAGCACCGGCCAACUACGUGCCAGCAGCCGCGGUAAUACGUAGGGUGCGAGCGUUGUCCGGAAUUACUGGGCGUAAAGAGCUCGUAGGUGGUUUGUCGCGUUGUUCGUGAAAUCUCACGGCUUAACUGUGAGCGUGCGGGCGAUACGGGCAGACUUGAGUACUGCAGGGGAGACUGGAAUUCCUGGUGUAGCGGUGGAAUGCGCAGAUAUCAGGAGGAACACCGGUGGCGAAGGCGGGUCUCUGGGCAGUAACUGACGCUGAGGAGCGAAAGCGUGGGGAGCGAACAGGAUUAGAUACCCUGGUAGUCCAA